rnacentral:rRNA from 1 species
AGUGAACGCUGGCGGCGUGCCUAAUACAUGCCAGUCGAACGGAGAUUAAGUAGCUUGCUAUUUAAUCUUAGUGGCGCACGGGUGAGUAAUAUAUAGCUAACUUGCCCAUUACUAAGGGACAACAGUUGGAAACGACUGCUAAUACCUUAUACUCCGUAUCUAUAUAAGUAGAUACGGGAAAGUUUUUCGGUAAUGGAUAGGGCUAUAUCGUAUCAGCUAGUUGGUAAGGUAAUGGCUUACCAAGGCUAUGACGCGUAACUGGUCUGAGAGGAUGAUCAGUCACACUGGAACUGAGACACGGUCCAGACUCCUACGGGAGGCAGCAGUAGGGAAUAUUGCUCAAUGGGGGAAACCCUGAAGCAGCAACGCCGCGUGGAGGAUGACACUUUUCGGAGCGUAAACUCCUUUUCUUGGGAAAGAAUUAUGACGGUACCCAAGGAAUAAGCACCGGCUAACUCCGUG